AUGUUAUACUGGAGGACUUUCUCUUUGGAAUUGCUGUGCAGAUAAGGGUCACUGGGUAAUAGGAUGUAAAGAGGAGCUCUCAAAACAACCUCACACAGAUAUGUCUUGAGAGUUUCUGCAGUUAUUUAACUGGUUCAAUGAGAAUUUAAUCAAGGUCUGCUUUAUAUCAAAAUGUAUGAUUUUUAUUCAAUGCCAUACAUAGAAUUUGUUCACAGUUAUCAUCAAACACACUCAUGACAUCAUGUAGAUCAUGGAUGUAAGGCUUUGAAACUUGAGGCAGAAAAAGAUAUAAAGAGCAAAUUCUGAGUAUAAACUUCUUCGUAAGUGCUUCCUUGUUCUUUUGCAAAGUCCAAAAUAAUCAUCAGGAGAAUAAUGGCCUCUUCUUCAAGAAAAACACCACAAAACAGUUCGUACCAUUAAACACAGUUCCUCCAUUUAGAAAACAAGGGAUCCAGUGAUUAAUCAAUAUGUCUAUGAGUGGCUAAAUUUUAUUGCACCAUUCUGAAGAAUACAAAAUUUGUCACUCCUCCGAGAGACACUUAAUAUUUGAUCUGGUUCACAUGAGAGAAUUCUAAAUGGAUAAAGAAAUCCCUGAGGAAGGCUGCAGAAGGCUGUGGAUGUCUUCUCUGGAACAUGUAGUUUUAUGUAACAACAUACCACAGUAAUGGACCUUCUUCUAUAAUUCAUAGAAAGCCAUUAAAUGAUUUAAUAUC
rnacentral:lncRNA from 1 species